UGCCGAUCAGCGUGCCGUAGGUGACGGCGUCGGGGGUGAGCUGCUCUGCCUGCAUCGCGCGGAGGUGGUGCAUGGCGGGCGCCACCUCGUGGCAGGAGGCGAUCAGGC
rnacentral:rRNA from 11 species